UCAGAGGAGAGGGCCUCACCCAAAGAGACCUUCCCUGGCUGCCCCCCAACUGACUCCCGUCCAUUCCUGUGCAUGGUCCAAGCCAUGACCCCUGUUUGGGGGUCUAUACGUGUGUGAUCAUCAAUCUAUGAACAUCAGCCCUAUGAUAUCAAGGACCUUGUCGAAUUGUUUACUUCUGUGUCCCCAGUGCCUAGACCACUAUCUGGCACACAGUAGGAGCUCAGUAAAUGUUUGUCAAGUGAAAUGAACCAUCUCCACAAGAUGGGAAAACCAAGGCACAGAGAGGUGAAAUGUCUUCCCCCAAGUCACACAGCCAGUGAGUAGCAGAGACAAGAUCAAACCGAAGCCUGUUUGACUGAGGAAACUGCCCUGAGACUGUAACAAGACACCUACCCCUCCCUAGAAGGAAAGCGCUGUUACUGUACCCAUUUCGCAGAUGAAAACUGAAGCUCUGAAAGGCGAAAUGGCUCGCCCGUGUCUGGACACAGAGUCUGUGGCUGAGCAGGGGAUGCCUGAGGUGGGGCCCCUGUCUCCCAGGCCAGCACACUGAAGAAGUGGCCAGAGGAGCCCCCCAUUCCCAGCCGUCCCCUGCCUGUUGGUUUCUCUGGCCAAUGCCCUGGCCUCUGUAUACCCAGCCCAACAACACCCAAGAUGCUGCCUUUUCCUCCUGCCUGGAGCAAAGUCUUGGCAUCUUCACAGUAGGAUUCU